AUUGAACGCUGGCGGCAGGCUUAACACAUGCAAGUCGAACGAGUGGCGGACGGGUGAGUAAUGUCUGGGAAACUGCCUGAUGGAGGGGGAUAACUACUGGAAACGGUAGUUAAUACCGCAUUCCAUCAGAUGUGCCCAGGUGGGAUUAGCUUGUUGGUGGGGUAACGGCGCACCAAGGCGACGAUCCCUAGCUGGUCUGAGAGGAUGGCCAGCCACACUGGACAUGAUACACGGGCCAUACUCCUCCGGGAGGCAGCAGUGGGGAAAAUUGCGCAAUGGGCGCAAUCCUGGUGCAGCCAUGCCGCGUGUGUGGAGGAGGCCUUCGGGGUGUAAAGUACUUUCAGCGGGGAGGCGUUACCCGCAGAAGAAGCACCGGCUAACUCCGUGCCAGCAGCCGCGGUAAUAC
rnacentral:rRNA from 1 species